rnacentral:lncRNA from 1 species
ACAUAGUAAUACAUAGCACAUACAGUCCGCAUAUUAAAAUUAUAACACAUCUAAUUGUAAAUAACAUAACAAUACAAUUAGUUGCCACCACAAGUAUUAAAAUGUGACAGUAGAUAACAGUUACUCUUCAUCAGACAUCUCUUCAUCAGAUGCAUAAUUUGGAUUAUUCAUUAUAUUUCUUAUCUCAGCUUCUGUGAGCUCAUAAUUUGGAUUAUUCAUUGCAUGUGAC